UUUAUGAGGAAUGGAGGGUUUUGGUGCAGCUCUGAUGCUUUAGUAAAAAGAUAAAGAAGUUUCAAAAAAUAGUUCAAGCAAAGCAAAGAUGGUGUUGGCUGGUAGCAACCGAGACGAUAGUAAAAUCCAUGAGGCUUGAAGAGAUGAUUAUUGCUCGAGAUGAUUUUAGUGGAGUUGUUCCUUCAUUGGAGAGUCCGUGAGGAGUUAACACUGGUUUUCUUUUUGAUCGUUACGUUUGUUCUUUUCCCAUCGAGACACUGGGUUGUUUUAAUGUAAACUUAAGCAUUGCCUCUUCAAGGGUUGAGAUUCUGUACAAACAGUGCUAAUUAUAAGAACCGUAAGAACAGAUCUGAACCAUUGAUAAUUUAAAUCAAGGGUUGAUAUU
rnacentral:lncRNA from 1 species